UGGACAACAGGUAGAGAUUCCUGUACCAGUGCUAAUUGUUUAACCGAUGGGGUGACACAGAAGGAUAGGGAAUCGCACGAAUGGAAAUGUGCGUCCAAGCAGUGAGUGUGAGAAGUAGGCAAAUCCGCUUCUCGCGAAGCAUGAGCUGUGAUGGGGAAGGAAAUUAAGUACGGAAGUUCCUGAUUUCACGCUGUCAAGAAAAGCCUCUAGGAAGAGUAGUACUGCCCGUACCGCAAACCGACACAGGUAGAUGAGGAGAGAAUCCUAAGGUGAGCGAGAGAACUCUCGUUAAGGAACUCGGCAAAAUGACCCCGUAACUUCGGGAGAAGGGGUGCUCUAUUAGGGUGCAAGCCCGAGAGAGCCGCAGUGAAUAGGCCCAGGCGACUGUUUAGCAAAAACACAGGUCUCUGCAAAACCGUAAGGUGACGUAUAGGGGCUGACGCCUGCCCGGUGCUGGAAGGUUAAGAGGAGUGCUUAGCUUCG
rnacentral:rRNA from 1 species